rnacentral:rRNA from 1 species
CCUACGGGUGGCAGCAGUGAGGAAUAUUGGUCAAUGGGCGCGAGCCUGAACCAGCUAAGUAGCGUGAAGGAUGACUGCCCUACGGGUUGUAAACUUCUUUUAUAAAGGCAUAAAGUGAGGCACGUGUGCAUUUUUGUAUGGACUUUAUGAUUAAGGAUAGGCUAACUCCGUGCCAGCAGCGGAGGUAAUACGGAGGAUCCGAGCGUUAUCUGGAUUUAUUUGGUGUAACGGGAGCGUAGAGGGGUUGUUAAGUCAGUUGUGAAAGUUUGCGGCUCAACCGUAAAAUUGCAAUUGAUACUGGCAGGCUUGAGUACAGUUGAGGUAGGCGGAAUUCGUGGUGUAGCGGUGAAAUGCUUAGAUAUCACGAAGAACUCCGAUUGCGAAGGCAGCUUACUAAGCUGCCACUGACAUUGAUGCUCGAAAGUGUGGGUAUCAAACAGGAUUAGAUACCCUGGUAGUC